UACAGAGGGUGCGAGCGUUGUUCGGAAUUACUGGGCGUAAAGCGCGUGUAGGCGGCCCGGUAAGUCCGCUGUGAAAGUCGGGGGCUCAACCCUCGGAUGCCGGUGGAUACUGUCGGGCUUGAGUGCGGAAGAGGCGAGUGGAAUUCCUGGUGUAGCGGUGAAAUGCGCAGAUAUCAGGAGGAACACCAAUUGCGAAGGCAGCUCGCUGGGACGUUACUGACGCUGAGACGCGAAAGCGUGGGGAGCAAACAGG
rnacentral:rRNA from 1 species